CCGCCUUGGCAACUUGGCUGAGGUGGGGUAGACCCGGGAGACACUGUAGCCCCCGCCGCCCACGGACGCUCCUCUGGCAGAGAACCGGAGGAGGCGCGGAGCCGGGCACGGCGGCCUGGCUGGGCGUCCGCUCCGGCCAGGAAGGAGUUGGAACAUUUCGAGAGGAGUCCUCCGGGGGGUUUGCCGAGCCCAGGCGGCCAAGGCAUUGGUCGCGCAGCAGCCGAGAGAGGCGCUCAGUUUCUGCCGCACCCCCUCCCACAGCACUUUGGCCGACACCCACGGGCGCCCCGCCCCCCUCGGGCUUAUAGAACCGGCCGGGCACCUCCGCACGCCUGGGAGCCGGACGCUUCCCUGAGCCGACGGCGCGGCUGCCUGUGUCGCCUGAAAGCCCCGCCGCCGCCGCCGAAGUGGCGAAGUGAGGCGGCGGCCGAGCCCCGCAUCAUGGAGGGCAGCUCCGCCGCGGCCCCAGCCCCAGCCCCGGUCGCCACCGACAGCCGCCGCCUCCCGCGUCCGGUCUGCCGGCUCUCGUCGCUGCUCUCAGGGCUCCGUUCCUUCCUCACCUCGAAGACAGUAUGAAGGAGACCCGGGGCCACGCGAGUGCCCCUUUCUGCACGCGCCUCAACCACUCCUACCCCGGCAUCUGGGCGCCCGAGCGCUCCGCUGAGGCGCGGAGCAACCUCACGCGUCCCGCGGGGCCCGGCGAGGAUUGCGGCUCGGUGUCCGUAGCCUUCCCGAUGACCAUGCUGAUCACUGGCUUCGUGGGCAACGCGUUGGCCAUGCUGCUCGUGUCGCAGAGCUACCGGCGCCGGGAGAGCAAGCGCAAGAAGUCGUUCCUGCUAUGCAUCGGCUGGCUGGCGCUCACCGACCUGGUCGGGCAGCUGCUCACCAGCCCGGUGGUCAUCGUCCUGUACCUGUCCCACCAGCGCUGGGAGCAGCUCGACCCGUCGGGGAGGCUGUGCACCUUCUUCGGACUGACCAUGACCGUCUUCGGGCUCUCCUCGCUCUUCAUCGCCAGCGCCAUGGCCGUCGAGCGGGCGCUGGCCACCCGGGCGCCGCACUGGUACUCGAGCCACAUGAAGACGAGCGCCACCCGCGCCGUGCUGCUCGGCGUGUGGCUGGCGGUGCUCGCCUUCGCCCUGUUGCCGGUGCUGGGCGUGGGUCAGUACACCAUCCAGUGGCCCGGGACGUGGUGCUUCAUUAGCACCGGGGCAGGGGGCAACGGGACUAGCCCUUCGCACAACUGGGGCAACAUUUUCUUCGCUUCCUCCUUUGCUUUCCUGGGGCUGUCAGCGCUGGCCGUCACCUUCGCCUGCAACUUGGCCACCAUUAAGGCCCUAGUGUCCCGCUGCCGGGCCAAGGCCACGGCGUCUCAGUCCAGCGCCCAGUGGGGCCGGAUCACGACCGAGACGGCUAUCCAGCUCAUGGGGAUCAUGUGCGUGCUGUCGGUCUGCUGGUCGCCGUUGCUGAUAAUGAUGUUGAAAAUGAUCUUCAAUCAUACAUCAGUUGAGCACUGCAAGACGUACACAGAAAAGCAGAAAGAGUGCAGCUUCUUCUUAAUAGCUGUUCGCCUGGCUUCACUGAACCAGAUCUUGGAUCCCUGGGUUUAUCUGCUGCUAAGAAAGAUCCUUCUUCAAAAGUUUUGCCAGGCACUGUGAUAUGUGGGCAUGAUGCAGAAACAAAAUAGGUGUGAACCCUGCUUCCAUGGAACUUACAAUCAGGAGAUACUGAUACUUCUAAGUGACUUUGGCUAUGUCCGAACAACCCCAAUUCUAGCCAAAUGGAAGGAAGAAUGUUGCAGCCCACUCACAAAUGAUGUUCCCAAAGUGGGAGGCAAAGUAUCAGGCACCACACAAACAACUAUGCCUCCAGCUCCACCUCUUUACCCCACCAGUGCUCCUCAACCUUGAUGUGGAGUGACCACUUGGAAAGAUAAUGAAAGAACGGAGGUGGACUUUUUAUUGCAAUUCCUGCUUCCCUGAGUUUGUGUAUUUCUUCCUACCUGAGAAGGAGAAUUUUAUAUUUUGAUUUGGAUUGUUUCUUCUUUUUCAUCUUUUUAAAAAUUUUAAUGUUUUUUCUUGUCAGUAAUAUCCACUGAGACCAAGUUUAUUACUGCAAUACGUGUCUUUGAGUAUUAAAAAUUGGUUUCUGGGACUGGAUUUUGAGUAUAUAUUUAAGAAGCUGGGCACGAUUGCACAGAUGGUGACUGGUGAAAAAAUGAGAAAAAGAAAACCCCAUCCUUCAGGAGUUUUCCCCCAGCUUCAAACCCUUAUGUGAAUCUCAACUGAUGUGGAUAUCUUUACAUUUUAUCGUAGUUUUGAUUUUACAAUAUGAGUUUGAAAAAUCAGUAAAAGUUUUUGUCAGUGAAAAGUCAACUUACUGAGAGCAAGAAUUCAAUUAAUAAGACAUAAACUUCACGAGAUAGAAAAGGAUGCCAAAUGAAGGCAGGAGGGUACCAUGACCAAAGAUAUUUAUGCAAAAUGUGUGAUUAAUGUUUUGGAGAUGUGUUCUUCUGGGCUAAGCUGGGAACUAAAAGCCCUUAAGUCUGUAUUCUUGUUAUGUGUCAUUUAGUAACUCAGGAAUCAGCAUAAUUGUUAUUUCUCUGUCUUUGAAGACUGAAAGGUGUGAUGCAACGAAGGGCUGUCUUGAUAUGUCAUAGAAAAUAAUAAUGAAGCUAAGGGAUGAAUUGUUGAGUUGGAGCAUUAAAAAAUCCAGGUGCAGUCUCCGAUCCACCACUAUCAAUUCAGCAUUUCUUACAAUUUCUUCUUGGGUGGCAUACAAAAGACAAAAUUAAUAAAUGACAUAGUUAUCAACUAUCAAGUUUUGUUACUUUUUUAUGAAAUAAAAGUGUCUAGUUUGUCUGAAAUAAGAAAUUCUGUGAACUUUAAAAAAAUACUUUGAGUCAUCUACUAUCUCUCAGCUAAUGUGCCCUUACCUGCUCAUAAAUUCAACCAACAUUUCUUUCUCUUGUCUUUCUUUCCCACUCCCUUCCUCCUUCUUUUCCCUCGCCCCAUUCACUUAAUUCAACACAUAUUUAUUGAGUGUCCCUUCUUUAGGCACCUAAGGGCCAUGCUGUCACAUACAAGGAUAUCUUGGAAAGAGAUGAUAAUAUGGUAUCAGUAGUUUUGCAAUAGGAGCCUAUACUGUGACUCCAUUGUCAUUUCUGUCAAUGUGAUGAAACCAAAAUAGUUGAAUCAUUCUUUUUGGCUAGUUGAACCAGUGUGAAUUAGCUGCAAACUACAAUUAUUUUCAUUAAAUAUGUAUUGAAAUUCAAGCAUUAUGUAACUGGCACAAAACAUGCUGUACACAAUCCCUUUAUUCAGGUUUAAAUUCAACAUAUUUUAUUGAGCAAGUAGAAUUUGCAGACCAUCAUAGGAAUAUCCACACUCCUGUUACCUCUCUAUCUGUCCAUCAUCCAGCUAUGUGGUUGUCUAGCUGUCAUCUAUUUACUGUUUUAUUUUUACAAAAGAGGGUAAGGUUUACAGAGGGUUUGCCCAAUGUCACUUAGCUAACAUAAGUAGGAAUUCAGAUCCAAGUUUAAGUUUUUUGAUUCCAGGUUUACUGUUCUCCCUACAGCACAGUGGGAUGUGAGACUUAUUACAAUGAUAUGCCAUUUAUAAGACAAUGUGAUCUAGUAAUAAAAGCAUGGGUUUUGGAAUCAAACUUGGAUUUAAAUCUGGCUGUGCCACUCAUUAGCUCUGUGAACUUGAGAAAGUUAAUUAAUUUCAUUUAGUCUCAAUGAAAUAAUCUGUAAACUAAAGACAGUAAUACUUACCUGUGGGGUUAUUGUGAUAAGGUACGUCAAGUGAGUGUAACACAAUAGGUACUCAAUAAGUAUUAACUGUGAUUAAUUCUUUAUCUAGACUUACCUCCAACUGUAUAAUAGGAGCUCUCACUUUCAACUAUAAACUGGCUUCCUGACUGUGUGGGUUGAAAUGUCAUGGACAGAAUCAACAUUAUGUAACAACAAAUCCCUGGAUGCUAUUCUUCUUGAUUCUAAUACCUCAUGGUUACUUUUGCCCACACAAAACCUACUCAUCUCCCACAUGUUCGAAUCUCACCUUGUCCUUAGACCUUGGACAAUUUAAGUACAGAAACCCCUCCUUAUCUGCAGUUUCAGUUACCAGUGGUCAAGCACAGAUGGAAAAUAUUAAGUGGAAAAUUCCAGAAAAAAACAAUUCAUAAGUGUUAAAUUGCAUGUCAUUCUGAGUAGCAUGAUGAAAUCUCCUAGGGUUCUUCUCUGUCUUACCUGGGACGUGAAUCAUCACUUUGUCCCCCGUAUCCCACUCAUUAGUCACAUGGUAGCCCACUCAGUUAUCAGAUCCACUGUUGAGGUUUUGCAGUGCCUGGGUUCAAGCACUUAAUAUGCUUUUUACUUAAUAAUGGCCCCAGGGAAUUCCCUGGUGCUCCAGUGGCUAG